GGGCACGGACCUUACCUUACUAAUCCUAUGGAGGCAAAGAAAAAGACAUAUAUGUGUGUAUACGUACUAACAAAAUAGAAAGUGAAGAUUUUGAACGGCAAGAAACUCCGGGUGAAGAUGAAACUAACAAUAUUUCUGACUUUGCCGAUGAGAUGAUAAUCGAGGAUGAUGGCCUAACACCUGAAUUGUUGCAAUUUGCUGAAUAUCUUCAAAAUAUGCUAGCCGCCAAUUCCGAUGAAGAGCAAGGAAUUACGAGUUCAGACGAUUAUGACGAUCAAAAAAUUGAAGGUAACAAUUCUGACUCCAGUGAUAACUCUGUUAACUGAAUGCAAUUCAAGUUGACUUCCAAUACAAUAUAUGUUUCAUUCUAUUAUGCUUUGGGGUUUUAAUUUCUUCUUUUGUAGUUCAAACUGUUAUGCACAUCAAUGUUAAAUCUUGAAUGUUAAAAUGAAUCUGUUAUCAGUAUGGGAUGUUCCCAAUUCAAAUUUUCCAAAUUAAUUUUUGUGUUAUUAAUUUAUUAUUUUAUUUUUGCUAAAUAUUUCUCUUGGGAUUGGGAGCACUUAAUAUCUUUUAUUUACAUAACGUCAAAAAAUGUUCAGUCAGAAAUUUGCUAUAUAGUUGCACCUCCGAAAAUGUUAGAAUCCUUAUUGAUGAUUUAGUCCAAUCAUUUGUUAAAAUUUUGGUUUUGGAUUAAAUUUGGUCUAGGCCGUGCACAUCAUCCUUUCAGGAUGUCUGAUUUUGUUGAAUGGGCUAAUUUCUAUCCAAUGUGAAAUAGUUAAAGUCUAAAUUUUAACUUAUAAGAAAAAUUAAGGUAAUUUUUAAUUGAUUUUAAAGUCCUAAAUAAUAGAAAUUAUAGUUUAAAUAAAGAAAGAUUUAGUAAUCAAAAUUUUAGAUGAUUUCAAAGUAUUAUAGAAAAAUAAUUAAAUUGAUAGUUUUGUUCAAUGUGAAUUUUAUUUUAAGUAAAUUCCACUUAACCCUCUUAACCUUUAAGGGUUAGGAAACAAUAACCCUCUUGGACAAUAUUUUUCGGUGAGUUUUAAAAAAUUUAUUGACGGAAAAAGAUUUUUCUUUUGUUCUAUAGACAAAGCAUUAACUACUUACUCUAAACUUCUAAUGGUGAUACAAUUUUAAAAUGUGAUAGGAACUAUAAGAUAAACAAAAGAUGAUGAAACAUCUAAUUAAAAACACUCUCCAUAUCGCUCAGCAUUCUUAAGCUAUUGUUCGCUUAGAAACACUAUCAAUAUUUCUCAUAAUUCUGAAGCUAAUAUUGUUAUUCUAAUGCUCAACUUAUUCGCGAGUACCAAUUUAUUCAGACGCACCUCAAGUUUUGGCCUUUAUUUAUAAAGCCACCCAUUCAAUUCUCUCAAUCAAACUUUUCGAUAUAGUAAAAAUUUUCCCAUUAACUAAUGUAGCACCUAAAGUCCCUAGAGAACUAUUCAAGUGAAGAAAUGAGUUUGUUUUGAUAUCUUUUGGUUGUUACGGUGAAGUGUUGUUAUAGAGGACAUAUAUUAUAACAUAAUAUAAAAUUGAUUCCAAGAAAAACUUGACUUUUAUAGUGAAUGACUAUUAUAUGGAGAUGUUGUUAUAAAGAGGUCUGACUGUAUACCAAUAUCUUAGGGAUCAAUCAUUUGUCUAUAAUAAACGUGUACAAAGUCUUCUGAGUUCAUCUAUGAUUGUGUGAAGGAGAGAGAGAGAGAGAGAGAUUUGAGAUGGUUUUUAGGUUAUGCUUCCAAUGUACACAAUCUCUCUCUCGGCAUAACAUUGUUUUGCGCGCAUUUAGAUUAGGUGGUUAGAGAUUUGAGUGGUUUUUAGGUAAUGGCUCUUUCGAUCCGACAAAAGGGGGCUAAAAUUGAAAUAAUUCGGUGGCUAAGUGUGUAAUACUUUGUCUAAUUGAGUGGCUACCAAGAGUGGACCUAUAGGACGUAGUUUCAAGGAGAAACUACGACAUUUCAUUUAAUGAAAUCAGAGAUCAGAUCUCAGCCAUUCAAGCCCUUUGAUCCAAUGGCUGAGAUCUAUCCUUAAUCAAGGUAUAUAAAUUCUUAAAAAUCAGAAUUUUUGCCGUUUCACAACCCUAGAGUCUUCCCCUAUCUCUCUCUCUUAUCUCUCCAUCUCUGCCGCCACCACUCCCUCGACGGCGCCGUCGGCCACCAAAAUUCGUCUCGACGGCAGACCAUCUCAAAACCAUCCAAAUUUUAUAUCAAUUUUCUCCUAUUUUCCUCCUCUACCCAAAUCCACAAGCUAAACCACCAAAAACAUCACUUACGCCUUGCUUUGCCACUGUGUGGUUGCCUCAAUCACCUCCACAAUUAUACUCAUCUCCUUGUCUCGUCCUCCUCAUUCCAAUAUCCCAAACCUAUAUCCUUGAACUCCCUCUCAAACUCCACGAAUUAAUCCAAAACUAAAACCCUAGCUGUCACCUUUUCUUCUCUAUUGUGAAAUCACAGCCACCACGACCUAACCACCACUACAAGUGCCAGAACCUCGUCUCCUCCAUGGUUUAGUGCUGACUCCGGACACACUUUCUUGUUGGUGAUGAAAAUCAUUGCCGACUUCUGAUUCGUUGAAGUUUAAGGCUACUAUUUCCACCAAUAAGAAAGACGUGUUUGAUAGUCGAGCUCGUCUCGUGGCAUAGUUAUGUUCAAGGAAGCUUAGGGUUGAAUUAGGAAAGUGUCGGUGACUAAAGACUCUCUUAGCUGUAGAUAUUAGAGAGAUUACUGGGCUAUAUCAUAUUGGGCCUUAGUAAUAAGAAGGAGAAUGGGCCAGAAUAAAGGAGAGAGUAGAGGCCCACGUAAAUAGCUUCAUCAGCCCACUCAAGCAAUAAUCAAUAAAUAGAAGAAUCAAGAAUGAAGCAUGGCAUGCAAAAUCUGGUAAAUUCUGUUACAACUCCUAACCACUUUUCUCUCAAUUCUUCUCUCCUAAUUAUCUCUCUCUAAUGACCUUUCUAACUCUUAUCUCUCUUCUUCUUCUUCUUCUUUCAGGUUAAUAUGGAGGAUUAGUUAGAAUCAAUCUUGUAACCAAUUCUAUUAGCCAUUGAUCAAUAAAAAUCCUCAUUUCU
rnacentral:lncRNA from 1 species